CGUAACUUUCAGUUUUACUUUCCUGCCCUGGAUUAUCUGGUAGAGGAAGGAGAACACAUUCUUCCUCACAUACGGCAGGAAAGAAGUGUGCUUUCAGACUCUGAGAUUUACUCAGCAAACAUUUUAUUAAAUGCAUCGAGCGUGGGAACCUAUGAGCAGCUGCUGUCGACCCUGAACGCCACCAGUUAUCCUCUCCAGCUUGAUAACACCACAGAGAUCCGAGAUAUUACUGUUACAACAGUUUGUGUCUCCACUGAAACUGGUUUCCAGUGUGAGUGUGAAGAGCAGUUUGCUUGGCCGUACAGCUCCUGCAUCACAUAUGGAGCUUGUGAUUCCAUAUCCAGCGGCAUCUGCAAAUGCAUCUCGGCGAUCCCAGCUGACGGCUCUUCCUGUCAGCUGAUCUCUGAGCUGCUGGUUCAAACUGAAUAUGUGAUUGAUCUGGAGCUGAAUCUAACCGACAUCGCAACAGUGGACUUCCUCAGACGCCUCCUGAGCAAUGGCAGCAAUUUUCUAACCCUGAGUCCAACAGUGAAUGUCACACAGCUUGACCUCU